rnacentral:lncRNA from 1 species
GCUAUAUAUCAGCUGCAAAAACACCCAGUUGCCAAGAAGAGUGGAGGAGGGAUUAAUCCCCACAGGAGAGGUCCACAAAUUCCCAGGCCGCUGCAUCUUAAAGGAUGAACACCAUUUCUAAGGAAAGAAGAAAAUCAUCUUUUGUCUCUGUGGGGAAAAAAACCUGGAGUGGGGGUCUGGAGCGGAGGCCAUUGUCAGCAAAGGCAGCAACAGAGGUAGAUCCAGAGACUGGCAAACACUCAACAAGCAGAGAGGGAAAGACUGCCACCAAUGAUGAACUCAGAAAUAACUGUGAUCUUCUGUGAUCAGCUCUGAGUUCUCCACUUCACAGACCAAGCAACAUCCUUGAAUCUAGGAAACAUGAUUGGGACAUUGUUUCUCUUCUCUCUGGACCAUCUUCCUGGCUCUGAUCUUCAUUCUAGAGUUGUUCUUUCUUCAUUUUCAAAGAUUUUUCAAUGCAGAGAAAAUCCAAAGUCCUUACCAGAGCCUGUAGCUUCCAUGUGAUCUGGGCCCUUGCUGUUCCUCUGACUUCCCCUCUGUGGCCUUUCUCUUUUCUGAGCCUGCUCCAGGCACAACGGCCUCCUUGUUCUUCUCCCAU